GCGGGGGUAGCUCAGUUGGCAGAGCAGUGGCUUUACAUGCUAUGAGUCGGAGGUUCAAACCCUCCCCCCUGCACCA
rnacentral:tRNA from 1 species